AAGGAGGGAAAAAUAAUCAGUUGGAAUGCUGAUAAAAAACAGAUUGAGCUUGAGAUCCUUUCAUCGCCAGCAGGACAAGUUGCUAAAGAGCCAGGGAAAUUCGAUCUGGUUUACCAGUCUGCAGAUGGAGCAGAACUGAUAGAGUACGCUGUUCCUCAGGAUACAAAGAUAACUGAAAGUUGGGAUGCACUGAUAGAGCCAAGACUGAUUGUUGAGCCUCCAGUUAAUGGAUCCAUCAUUGAAAAUGGAGCAGUCUGAGCUGUGAACCAAUGUAAAUAACUGUACAGACUUGUUUUGUGACAUGCUGCCUUCUAGUUCCGAGGGCAGCAGGUCACUGGUGGGUAUUUUUAAUAAAUGGUUUU